UACGGAGGGUGCGAGCGUUGUCCGGAAUCACUGGGCGUAAAGCGCACGUAGGCGGACUCUUAAGUCGGUGGUGAAAUCCUGGAGCUCAACUCCAGAACUGCCUUCGAUACUGGGAGUCUCGAGUUCGGGAGAGGUGAGUGGAACUGCGAGUGUAGAGGUGAAAUUCGUAGAUAUUCGCAAGAACACCAGUGGCGAAAGGCGGCUCACUG
rnacentral:rRNA from 1 species